AAAGGAUGCAUGGAAUGUCAUCUAGCAAUAACCUACUAUCAUGCUAGUAUAUUUCAACAGUGUAAUGAAUACAACUACAACAUAGUUAUGCAGUCUACUAUGUCAAAUCAUGGUAUGAAUGCAAUCCACUUAUGCAAUUCCUGUUACCACCCAAUCAAUUAGGCCAACUUGCCUAAGGUCUCAAAUCUCAAGGUCCUAGGCAAAGAGCUACCCCGCUCCUUGCCCGACUCGUAUCUCAUAGGUCCGACCCAAUCUCGAAAGUCCUAGGCAAAGAGCUACCCCGCUCCUCGCCCGACUCAAUCUCAAAGGUCCUAGGCAAAGAGCUACCCCGCUCCUUGCCCGACUCGUAUCUCAUAGGUCCGACCCAAUCUCGAAAGUCCUAGGCAAAGAGCUACCCCGCACCUCGCCCGACUCAAUCUCAAAGGUCCUAGGCAAAGAGCUACCCCGCUCCUUGCCCGACUCAAUCUCGCUCUACUAGGUACAAGCUGGCACAGAUAGAUAG
rnacentral:lncRNA from 1 species